rnacentral:rRNA from 1 species
AUUGAAAGCUGGCGGCAGGCCUAACACAUGCAAGUCGAGCGAGCGGCGGACGGGUGAGUAAUGUAUGGGGACUGCCCGAUAGAGGGGGCUAACUACUGGAAACGGUGGCUAAUACCGCAUACUAUCGGAUAACCCAUAUGGGAUUAGCUAGUAGGUGGGGUAAAGGCUCACCUAGGCGACGAUCUCUAGCUGGUCGGAGAGGAUGCUCAGCCACACUGGGACGUAGACACGGCCCAGACUCGUACGGCGUGAGCAGUGGGGAAUAUUGCACAAUGGGCGCAAGACUUAUGCAGCCAUGCCGCGUGUAUGAAGAAGGCCUUAGGGUUGGAAAGUACUUUCAGCGGGGAGGCGUUACCCGCAGAAGAAGCACCGGCUAACUCCGCGUCAGCAGCCGCGGUAAUAC